CUUCAAAGACCCCUUACACUCUGUUCUUGGUUGUUCCAGCUUCAUCCUGGUCUGAAUCUCCGUCCUAUGAAUUGCCUUUCUGGGUUUCCUUCCUCAAGAGAAAAAUGGGGUUACUAAUGCCAACAGGAAGAAAUGAUAAGAAAACUAAACAUGGAGGUAGAAGAAUUGUUCCAACCCUGAGACUGCCAUUUAAUGAGUGUGUGAACUGGAGAAAGUCACUUACUAUCUCUCAGUCUGAAUUUACUCAUCCUACGACAUGAACUUGGCAAGGUACUAGUGAAAACUAGUGCCCAAACAAAGCGUGGAUCACACAGCCGACACUUCUAUGUAAUGUGAGAAUAUUUUGACUUUCCUUUCUCUCACGAAGGUGUGGUCUAAUGUGUUGGUAACUGCCCAAGAAAGGAUCUGAGUAUCGUUCCAGCUGCAGUAUGAGGAGAAUGGUUUGGCACAAGACAGGAGAAGAUUUGGGAAGACCCAUGGCAGAUGAUUGCUGUAUUCCAGGGGACAGAUUGUAGUGGCCGAGAUUACUGUGGACUCUUUGGAAACAGAUCGAUGUGGCUUCUUUGACAGAUACAUAGAAAAUGGAACAAUCAAGAUUUUAUUCUAUUUGAAUGUGUGGGGGCCCUACCCUAGACAUAUCAAGGAACAACUCAGGGUCAGAUCAGCUAUCUGUGUUGUAACCAGGCCUCCAGGUCAUUUGGAUGCACUCUCAAUGUUGGGAUCUCUGACUAGACAAUGAAAUUAGGGCUCCUGCCCUUUACCCAAGCUCUCCCUGUCCGUCCCCCUCAUCCUUCACUCACCACCUCCCAAAUCCCAAUGACUAGAGCUUCUACAGUUCAAAUGGGGGGCAGCAAUGGCCAAAAGGAAGGGGUUCUUAGAAUUCAUCAGAGAAUCAGUAAGCAAGCACUGAAAAAGGAGAAAUCAACUGGAAAAGCAUCCUUCCCAAUCUAUCAAUGGCUAUACCCAUUGAUUGACUGUGUGCUCAUUCACACUGCAGUGUGGUGGUGACAAGUACCGGCUCAGGGGCCAGAAGGCCUGGAUGCAAAUCCCAGCUCUACCACCUACCAGUUGUGUGACACCAAGCAAGGCAUUUCACCUCCCUCCAUAUAUUUCCUCAUCUGUGAAAUGAGGAGAAAAAAUACACCAUCUCAUGGAGUCACCAUAAGGAUUAAAUGUCUAAAUAGAUGUAAAGUUUCGAUAACAGUGCCUGCGAUGCACAGUAAGCACAAUUGAAUUGUUAGUAUCUAACAAUCUAAGAGAUCCAAGAGCAUCACUAUUCAAAAUCAGCCAUCAUCGUUAACUUUACCUGACUUCGUACACUCAACAAACAUUUGUUUAGAAAUUUAAGAUUGUGAAAUAGCUGGAUUAUAGUGUUAAAAAAAAUAAACCGGAAUAUUACUAGGUGUUCAAGCCCCUUCUUAAGAAUGAAGGCCUCUCUCUUUGUCCUGUCUCCCCAGGGUGUUCUCCAGAGAAUAGCAACACAUGGUCCAGGGAAAGCACAGA
rnacentral:lncRNA from 1 species